GUACAGCGGACGAGUCCCAAACAGGACGAAACAGCUGUCCAGUGC
rnacentral:hammerhead_ribozyme from 1 species